GGGGCUGACUGGCUUUGACAGCGUGUAGAGGUGGUGAGUAAGCAUGCAGAGUGAUGAUGCCCACACUCUUAAAUCAGAGACAUCAAAAAUUCAAAUGGCGAAAACAACUACGCUCUCGCUGCUUAAUCGAAGAACAGUAGAUUAGCUUUAUCUCCGCAACAGUUGCAGAG
rnacentral:tmRNA from 1 species